GUCUAUGCCCAUGUCACCCUGAACAAGCCAGAUCCCGUCUGAUCUCAGAAGCUAAGCAGUGUUGGGCCGGUUAGUACUUGGAUGAGAGACUACGUAGGAAGACCAGGUGCUGUAGGCG
ensembl:rRNA 5S_rRNA 5S ribosomal RNA